rnacentral:rRNA from 1 species
UUGCUCUCGGGUGACGAGCGGCGGACGGGUGAGUAAUGUCUGGGAAACUGCCUGAUGGAGGGGGAUAACUACUGGAAACGGUAGCUAAUACCGCAUAACGUCGCAAGACCAAAGUGGGGGACCUUCGGGCCUCAUGCCAUCAGAUGUGCCCAGAUGGGAUUAGCUAGUAGGUGGGGUAACGGCUCACCUAGGCGACGAUCCCUAGCUGGUCUGAGAGGAUGACCAGCCACACUGGAACUGAGACACGGUCCAGACUCCUACGGGAGGCAGCAGUGGGGAAUAUUGCACAAUGGGCGCAAGCCUGAUGCAGCCAUGCCGCGUGUAUGAAGAAGGCCUUCGGGUUGUAAAGUACUUUCAGCGGGGAGGAAGGCGAUAAGGUUAAUAACCUUGUCGAUUGACGUUACCCGCAGAAGAAGCACCGGCUAACUCCGUGCCAGCAGCCGCGGUAAUACGGAGGGUGCAAGCGUUAAUCGGAAUUACUGGGCGUAAAGCGCACGCAGGCGGUCUGUCAAGUCGGAUGUGAAAUCCCCGGGCUCAACCUGGGAACUGCAUUCGAAACUGGCAGGCUAGAGUCUUGUAGAGGGGGGUAGAAUUCCAGGUGUAGCGGUGAAAUGCGUAGAGAUCUGGAGGAAUACCGGUGGCGAAGGCGGCCCCCUGGACAAAGACUGACGCUCAGGUGCGAAAGCGUGGGGAGCAAACAGGAUUAGAUACCCUGGUAGUCCACGCCGUAAACGAUGUCGAUUUGGAGGUUGUGCCCUUGAGGCGUGGCUUCCGGAGCUAACGCGUUAAAUCGACCGCCUGGGGAGUACGGCCGCAAGGUUAAAACUCAAAUGAAUUGACGGGGGCCCGCACAAGCGGUGGAGCAUGUGGUUUAAUUCGAUGCAACGCGAAGAACCUUACCUGGUCUUGACAUCCACAGAACUUAGCAGAGAUGCUUUGGUGCCUUCGGGAACUGUGAGACAGGUGCUGCAUGGCUGUCGUCAGCUCGUGUUGUGAAAUGUUGGGUUAAGUCCCGCAACGAGCGCAACCCUUAUCCUUUGUUGCCAGCGGUUAGGCCGGGAACUCAAAGGAGACUGCCAGUGAUAAACUGGAGGAAGGUGGGGAUGACGUCAAGUCAUCAUGGCCCUUACGACCAGGGCUACACACGUGCUACAAUGGCAUAUACAAAGAGAAGCGACCUCGCGAGAGCAAGCGGACCUCAUAAAGUAUGUCGUAGUCCGGAUUGGAGUCUGCAACUCGACUCCAUGAAGUCGGAAUCGCUAGUAAUCGUAGAUCAGAAUGCUACGGUGAAUACGUUCCCGGGCCUUGUACACACCGCCCGUCACACCAUGGGAGUGGGUUGCAAAAGAAGUAGGUAGCUUA